rnacentral:tRNA from 1 species
GGGAGAGGCCAUGGCUCAGUGGUAAAGCACCUGCUUUGAAUGCAGAAAACCCAAGUUCCAGCCUUGCCCUCCA